rnacentral:rRNA from 1 species
CCUACGGGCGGCAGCAGUGGGGAAUAUUGCACAAUGGGGGAAACCCUGAUGCAGCGACGCCGCGUGAGUGAAGAAGUAAUUCGUUAUGUAAAGCUCUAUCAGCAGGGAAGAAAAUGACGGUACCUGAGUAAGAAGCCCCGGCUAACUACGUGCCAGCAGCCGCGGUAAUACGUAGGGGGCAAGCGUUAUCCGGAUUUACUGGGUGGAAAGGGAGCGUAGACGGCAGUGCAAGUCUGGAGUGAAAGGCGGGGGCUCAACCCCCGGACUGCUCUGGAAACUGUACGGCUGGAGUGCAGGAGAGGUAAGUGGAAUUCAUAGUGUAGCGGUGAAAUGCGUAGAUAUUAGGAGGAACACCAGUGGCGAAGGCGGCUUACUGGACUGUAACUGACGUUGAGGCUCGAAAGCGUGGGGAGCAAACAGGAUUAGAUACCCUUGUAGUC